rnacentral:rRNA from 1 species
UACGGGGGGGGGCAAGCGUUGUUCGGAAUUACUGGGCGUAAAGGGUUCGUAGGUGGCCCGCUAAGUCAGACGUGAAAUCCCUCAGCUCAACUGGGGAACUGCGUCUGAGACUGGCAGGCUUGAGUGCAGGAGAGGACGCGGAAUUCCAGGUGUAGCGGUGAAAUGCGCAGAUAUCAGGAGGAACACCAAUUGCGAAGGCAGCUCGCUGGAACGUAACUGACGCUGAGACGCGAAAGCGUGGGGAGCAAACAGG